rnacentral:ncRNA from 1 species
AUAACGGCUAAGAAUGGAAAAGUAUGCUUGUCUGCUGUUUAGAGAUGGAGCCCUCGGCUGAAAGGCUUCUCUGCGUGCAAGCUGAAGGUCAUCCAGGAGCCGCCUCGCUGAAUUGUAGUAGGCGCGGCCGAAUUUGCCUCGUUACGGCAUGUCAAGUGUCUGGCUCAAGUGUGAGCCGGAAAUAAAGGUGGUACCGCGGAAGCUAAGCCCUUUCGUCCUUAUA